UGGGGAAUAUUGCACAAUGGGCGCAAGCCUGAUGCAGCCAUGCCGCGUGUGUGAAGAAGGCCUUCGGGUUGUAAAGCACUUUCAGCGGGGAGGAAGGCGUUAAGGUUAAUAACCUUGGCGAUUGACGUUACCGACAGAAGAAGCACCGGCUAACUCCGUGCCAGCAGCCGCGGUAAUACGGAGGGUGCAAGCGUUAAUCGGAAUUACUGGGCGUAAAGCGCACGCAGGCGGUCUGUCAAGUCGGAUGUGAAAUCCCCGGGCUCAACCUGGGAACUGCAUUCGAAACUGGCAGGCUAGAGUCUUGUAGAGGGGGGUAGAAUUCCAGGUGUAGCGGUGAAAUGCGUAGAGAUCUGGAGGAAUACCGGUGGCGAAGGCGGCCCCCUGGACAAAGACUGACGCUCAGGUGCGAAAGCGUGGGGAGCAAACAGG
rnacentral:rRNA from 1 species